GUGCCAGCAGCCGCGGUAAUACGUAGGGUACGAGCGUUGUCCGGAAUUAUUGGGCGUAAAGAGCUCGUAGGUGGUUGGUCACGUCUGCUGUGGAAACGCAACGCUUAACGUUGCGCGUGCAGUGGGUACGGGCUGACUAGAGUGCAGUAGGGGAGUCUGGAAUUCCUGGUGUAGCGGUGAAAUGCGCAGAUAUCAGGAGGAACACCGGUGGCGAAGGCGGGACUCUGGGCUGUAACUGACACUGAGGAGCGAAAGCAUGGGGAGCGAACAGGAUUAGAUACCCUGGUAGUCCAUGCCGUAAACGUUGGGCACUAGGUGUGGGGGGCAUUCCACGUUCUCCGCGCCGUAGCUAACGCAUUAAGUGCCCCGCCUGGGGAGUACGGUCGCAAGGCUAAAACUCAAAGGAAUUGACGGGGGCCCGCACAAGCGGCGGAGCAUGCGGAUUAAUUCGAUGCAACGCGAAGAACCUUACCAAGGCUUGACAUACACCGGACCGUCCUGGAAACAGGUCUUCUUCUUUGAAGCUGGUGUACAGGUGGUGCAUGGUUGUCGUCAGCUCGUGUCGUGAGAUGUUGGGUUAAGUCCCGCAACGAGCGCAACCCUCGUUCUAUGUUGCCAGCACGUGAUGGUGGGAACUCAUAGGAGACUGCCGGGGUCAACUCGGAGGAAGGUGGGGAUGACGUCAAAUCAUCAUGCCCUUUAUGUCUUGGGCUUCACGCAUGCUACAAUGGCUGGUACAGAGAGAGGCGAACCCGUGAGGGCAAGCGAAUCCCUUAAAGCCAGUCUCAGUUCGGAUCGUAGUCUGCAAUUCGACUACGUGAAGUCGGAGUCGCUAGUAAUCGCAGAUCAGCAACGCUGCGGUGAAUACGUUCCCGGGCCUUGUACACACCGCCCGUCAAGUCACGAAAGUCGGUAACACCCGAAGCCGGUGGCCUAACCGUAAGGAGGGGGCCGUCUAAGGUGGGACUGGUGAUUGGGACUAAGUCGUAACAAGGUAACC
rnacentral:rRNA from 1 species